UACGGGGGGGGCAAGCGUUGUUCGGAAUUACUGGGCGUAAAGGGCUCGUAGGUGGCCAACUAAGUCAGACGUGAAAUCCCUCGGCUUAACCGGGGAACUGCGUCUGAUACUGGAUGGCUUGAGUUUGGAAGAGGGAUGCGGAAUUCCAGGUGUAGCGGUGAAAUGCGUAGAUAUCUGGAGGAACACCGGUGGCGAAGGCGGCAUCCUGGACCAAUACUGACACUGAGGAGCGAAAGCCAGGGGAGCAAACGGG
rnacentral:rRNA from 1 species